UUAGAGACUACCGAGUUCUUACAAGUUUAACAAAAACACCUUGAUUGGUGUAUAUAGAUCAUAAGCAGGUGAAGAAGCAGGCAAUGUACAAAUAUGAUGGCA